AUUGAACGCUGGCGGCAUGCCUUACACAUGCAAGUCGAACGGUAACGCGGGGCAACCUGGCGACGAGUGGCGAACGGGUGAGUAAUGCAUCGGGACGUGCCCAGUAGUGGGGGAUAGCCCGGCGAAAGCCGGAUUAAUACCGCAUACGACCUACGGGUGAAAGGGGGGGAUCGCAAGACCUCUCGCUAUUGGAGCGGCCGAUGUCAGAUUAGGUAGUUGGUGGGGUAAAGGCCUACCAAGCCAUCGAUCUGUAGCUGGUCUGAGAGGACGACCAGCCACACUGGGACUGAGAGACGGCCCAGACUCCUACGGGAGGCAGCAGUGGGGAAUUUUGGACAAUGGCGCAAGCCUGAUCCAGCCAUGCCGCGUGCGGGAAGAAGGCCUUCGGGUUGUAAACCGCUUUUGUCAGGGAAGAAACGCUCUGAGCUAAUACCUCGGGGUAAUGACGGUACCUGAAGAAUAAGCACCGGCUAACUACGUGCCAGCCGCCGCCGUAA
rnacentral:rRNA from 1 species